GGUGAACCUGCGGAAGGAUCAUUACCGAGUUGAUUCGAGCUCCGGCUCGACUCUCCCACCCUAUGUGUACCUACCUCUGUUGCUUUGGCGGGCCGCGGUCCUCCGCACCGGCGCCCUUCGGGGGGCUGGCCAGCGCCCGCCAGAGGACCAUAAAACUCCAGUCAGUGAACUUCGCAGUCUGAAAAACAAGUUAAUAAACUAAAACUUUCAACAACGGAUCUCUUGGUUCUGGCAUCGAUGAAGAACGCAGCGAAAUGCGAUAAGUAAUGUGAAUUGCAGAAUUCAGUGAAUCAUCGAAUCUUUGAACGCACAUUGCGCCCCUUGGUAUUCCGAGGGGCAUGCCUGUUCGAGCGUCAUUUCAACCCUCAAGCUCUGCUUGGUAUUGGGCCCCGUCCUCCACGGACGCGCCUUAAAGACCUCGGCGGUGGCGUCUUGCCUCAAGCGUAGUAGAAAACACCUCGCUUUGGAGCGCACGGCGUCGCCCGCCGGACGAACCUUUGAAUUAUUUCUCAAGGUUGACCUCGGAUCAGGUAGGGAUACCCGCUGAACUUAAGCAUAUCAAUAAG
rnacentral:rRNA from 1 species